rnacentral:rRNA from 1 species
AUUGAACGCUGGCGGAAUGCUUUACACAUGCAAGUCGAACGGCAGCAUAGGUGCUUGCACCUGAUGGCGAGUGGCGAACGGGUGAGUAAUACAUCGGAACGUGCCCAGUCGUGGGGGAUAACGUAGCGAAAGUUACGCUAAUACCGCAUACGAUCUAAGGAUGAAAGCGGGGGACCGUAAGGCCUCGCGCGAUUGGAGCGGCCGAUGUCAGAUUAGGUAGGUGGUGAGGUAAAGGCUCACCAAGCCGACGAUCUGUAGCUGGUCUGAGAGGACGACCAGCCACCCUGGGACUGAGACACGGCCCAGACUCCUACGGGAGGCGGCAGUGGGGAAUUUUGGACAAUGGACGCAAGUCUGAUCCAGCCAUUCCGCGUGCAGGACGAAGGCCUUCGGGUUGUAAACUGCUUUUGUACGGAACGAAAAAGCUCUUACUAAUACUAGGAGUCCAUGACGGUACCGUAAGAAUAAGCACCGGCUAACUACGUGCCAGCAGCCGCCGUAA